rnacentral:rRNA from 1 species
GCUGGAAUGAAUGGUUGAAUGAAAAAUAUACUUUCUUUAUUUUAUAUAAAUAAAUUGAUUUUUUAGUUAAAAAGCUAUAAUUUUUUUAUGGGACGAGAAGACCCUAUAGAACUUUAUUAAAAUCAUAAUUUAAUUUUUUUUAUAUUUUUAUAAAUUUAAAUUAUGAUUUUAAUUUUGUUGGGGUGACAGAAAAAAUAUAUUAACUUUUUCUAUUUUUAACAUUCAUAUAUGUUUAAUUGAUCCUAUUUUAUGGAAAAAAGAUUAAGUUACCUUAGGGAUAACAGCGUUAUUUUUUUGGAGAGYUCUAAUCGAUAAAAGAGUUUGCGACCUCGAUGUUGGAUUAAAAUAAGUGACAGGAGUAUAAUAU